rnacentral:rRNA from 1 species
UACGUAGGGGGCGAGCGUUGUCCGGAGUUACUGGGCGUAAAGCGCUUGUAGGCGGUCCACCCAGUUUGGGGUGACAGUUGCCGACUUAAUCGGCAAAGUGCCUCAAAGACUGGCGGACUUGAGGGCCACAGAGGGACAUGGAACUCCAGGUGUAGUGGUGAAAUGCGUAGAUAUCUGGAAGAACACCAAAGGCGAAGGCAGUGUCCUGGGUGGUCGCUGACGCUGAGAGGCGAAAGCCAGGGGAGCGAACGGG